UCAGGGCCGUCUUUAACGCGGGGCAAACGGGGCAGCUGCCCCGGGCCCAGUUGUUCCUGGGGGCCCAGAGCAGCUGCUCUGUGGGCCCCGCGAUUUGCGGCUCCCGCACACUGAGGAGGCUCCCCGGGUGGCCCAUGCACUAAGGGCCACCCGGGGAGCAUGUGUCAGGAGGGGCCCGGUCGGGCGCUGUGGCGCUUAAACAGCGCGACCGGGCCCCUCUUCCGGUUCUGCAGCCGGCUGGGAGGAAGUGACGUCACUUCCUCCCACCGGAGAUAGCCGCGCGGGAGGAGGAAGGCAGGGAGGAGGGGAGUUCAAGAAGAGAACUCCCAUCUGCCUCAGCCUGCCACUGGACCAGGGAAACCACCCUCCAGGAAAAGGUAAGAACCUGGAGGGUGGCUAAAUGUAUGUCAGUAGGUCUGUCUGUGUGUGUAUGUCUGUGUGUGUGUGUCAGUAUGUCUGUGUGUGUGUGUGUGUCAGUAUGUCUGUGUGUGUGUCAGUAUGUCUGUGUGUGUGUAUGUAGGUAUGUCUCUGUGUGUGUAUGUGUGUGUGUGUGUGUGUACGUGUGUGUCAGUAUGUCUGCCAGGAUAUAUUUGUGUGUCAGUGUAUGUGUGUGUCAGUAUGUAUCUGUGAAUGUUUUAAUGUCUGUCUGUGUGUAUGUGCCAGUACGUCUGUCUGUGUGUAUGUCAGUAUGUCUGUGUGUAUGUAAGUAUGUCUGUGUAUGUGUGUGUCAGUCAGUAUGUCUGUCAGUUUAUGUGUCUGUGUGUAUGUAUGUAUGUCUGUCAGUAUGUCUGCCAGGAUAUAUUUGUAUGUCAGCGUAUGUGUGUGUCAGUAUAUAUCUGUGAAUGUUUAAUGUCUGUCUGUAUCAGCCAUUACGUCUGUCUGUGUAUAUGUCAGUAUGCGUGUGUGUGUGUGUGUAUAUAUGUCAUUAUGCCUGUGUGUGUGUGUCAAUGUGUCUGUCAGUGUAUGUGUCUGUGUGUUUUAGUAUAUCUGUCAGUGUAUGUGUUUGUGUGUGUGGCAGUAUAUCUGUUAAUGUAUGUGUCUGUGUAUGUAUGUAUGUCUGUGUGUGUGUCAGCAUGUCUGCCAGUAUAUAUUUGUGUGUAGUGACUGUGUGUGUCAGUAUGUAUCUGUGAAUGUUUUAAUGUCUGUCUGUGUGUGUAUGUGCCAGUACGUCUGUCAGUGUGAUUGCGGGUUGGACGUAAUUGGGGGGUGAGGCAGUGGCAGGGACAGGGCCCAUGGGGCCCAAGAAAAUGC